rnacentral:rRNA from 1 species
UAGGGAAUAUUGCGCAAUGGGGGCAACCCUGACGCAGCAACUCCACGUGUGGGAUGAAGCAUUUCGGUGUGUAAACCACUGUCGAGAGGGAAUAAUUCGGCCUUUCGGGGCCGCUGAAUGUACCUUUAAAGGAAGCACCGGCAAACUUCGUGCCAGCAGCCGCGGUAAUACGAGGGGUGCAAGCGUUGUUCGGAAUCACUGGGCGUAAAGGGAGCGUAGGCGGGCCGCCAAGCGUUCUGUGCAAUCCCGGGGCCCAACCCCGGACCCGCAGAGCGAACUGGCGUCCUUGAGUGGUUCAGAGGCCGGCGGAAUUCCUGGUGUAGCGGUGGAAUGCGUAGAUAUCAGGAAGAACACCGAUGGCGAAGGCAGCCGGCUGGGGACCCACUGACGCUGAGGCUCGAAAGCGUGGGAAGCAAACAGGAUUAGAUACCCUGGUAGU